GACGAACGCUGGCGGCGUGCCUAAUACAUGCAAGUCGAGCGGAGUUACUUUGAAAGCUUAGCUUUCAAAGUAACUUAGCGGCGGACGGGUGAGUAACACGUAGGCAACCUGCCCCUUAGACUGGGAUAACUACCGGAAACGGUAGCUAAUACCGGAUAAUUUCUUUUUUCUCCUGAAGGAAGAAUGAAAGACGGAGCAAUCUGUCACUGAGGGAUGGGCCUGCGGCGCAUUAGCUAGUUGGUGGGGUAACGGCCCACCAAGGCGACGAUGCGUAGCCGACCUGAGAGGGUGAACGGCCACACUGGGACUGAGACACGGCCCAGACUCCUACGGGAGGCAGCAGUAGGGAAUCUUCCGCAAUGGACGAAAGUCUGACGGAGCAACGCCGCGUGAGUGAUGAAGGUUUUCGGAUCGUAAAGCUCUGUUGCCAGGGAAGAACGUCCGGUAGAGUAACUGCUACCGGAGUGACGGUACCUGAGAAGAAAGCCCCGGCUAACUACGUGCCAGCAGCCGCGGUAAUACGUAGGGGGCAAGCGUUGUCCGGAAUUAUUGGGCGUAAAGAGCGCGCAGGCGGUCAUUUAAGUCUGGUGUUUAAACCUUGGGCUCAACCU
rnacentral:rRNA from 1 species